GCGCUAGUAGUAUAGUGGUUAGUAUAUGGCCUUGCCAAGGCUAUGACCUGGGUUCGAGCCCCAGCUAGCGCA
rnacentral:tRNA from 1 species